AGUUCGAUUGUUGCCCAGAUUGAACGCUGGCGGGAUGUUUUACAUGCAAGUCGGACGGCAGCACGGGACUUCGGUCUGGUGGCGAGUGGCGAGCGGGUGAGUAAUGUACUCCGAACGUGCCUAGUAGCGGGGAUAACUACGCGAAAGCUAAUACCGCAUGUUACCCCUUCGGGGAAAGCGGGGACCCUUCGGGCCUCGCACCAUUAGAGCGGCCGACAUCGGAUUAGCUAGUUGGUGUGCAACGGCCAAUUGGCGACGAUCCGUAGCUGGUUUGAGAGGAUCGACCAGCCACACCGGACCGAGACACGGCCCAGACUCCUACGGGAGGCAGGGAAUUCUGGAUAAUGGGGGAAACCCCUGAUCCAGCCAUCCCGCGUGCGAUGAAGGCCUUCGGGUUGUAAAAAGCACUCUUUGGUAAGAAACGGCACGGGGAUAAUACCCUGCGCAACUUAUCGGUACCCGCAGCAGAAUAAGCACCGGGCUACUCGCCAGCCAGCAGCCGCGGUAAUACGUAGGGUGCAGCGUUAAUCGGAAUUACUGGGCGCAAGCGUGCGCAGGCGGUCUGGAAAAAGAUAAAGAAAUCCCAGAGCUUAUCUUUGGAACUGCAUUUCUUUUAACUACCGAGCGAGCGUGUGUCAGAGGGUGGUGGAAUUCCGCGGUAGCAGUGAAACGCGCGAUAUGAGGAACACCGAUGGCGAAGGCAGCCUCCGGGAUAACACUGACGCCUAUGCAUCGAAAGCGUAGUGGGGAGCAACAGGAUUAGAUACCCUGGUAGUCCACGCCCUAAACGAUGUCAACUAGCUGUUGGGGCCUUCGGGCCUCGGUAGCGUGGCCAACGUGUGAAGUUGACCGCCCGGGGAGUACGGUCGCAAGAUUAAACCGUGCUGGAAUUGACGGGACCCGCACAAGCGGUGGAUGAUGUGGAUUAAUUCGAUGCAACGCGAAAAACCUUACCUACCCUUGACAUGUCUGAAUCCCGAAGAGAUUUGGGAGGUUUCUGCAAGAGAACCGGAACACAGGUGCUGCAUGGUUGUCGUCAGCUCGUGUCGUGAGAUGUUGGGUUAAGUCCCGCAACGAGCGCAACCCUUGAACAGCUAUUGCCAUGAAAGGGCACUCUUAAUGAGAUCGCCGGUGACACGAAAUCCGAGGAAGGUGCGGGGAUGACGCCGGGAAAACCUGAAGCGGCCUGGCGGGUAGGGCUUCACACGUCAUACAAUGGUCGGGACAGAGGGUCGCCAACCCGCGAGGGGAGCCAAUCCCAGAAACCCGAUCGGGCCGAUCGCUCCAGUUCGCAAACCGACCGCGUGAAGUCGAAUCGCUAGUAAUCGCGGAUCAGCAUGUCGCGGUGAAUACGUUCCCGGUCUGAAGUACCGCCCGUCACAAACCAGCGCAGCGGUCGUCGGGGCGAAGCAAACAAACCGGCGCGGAGGUGAUUACUACGGUAGGAAUUCAUGACCGGGGUGAAGUAACAAGGUA
rnacentral:rRNA from 1 species